rnacentral:rRNA from 1 species
CGCCAGACUCCUACGGGAGGCAGCAGUGGGGAAUAUUGCACAAUGGGGGAAACCCUGAUGCAGCGACGCCGCGUGAGUGAAGAAGUAUUUCGGUAUGUAAAGCUCUAUCAGCAGGGAAGAAAAUGACGGUACCUGACUAAGAAGCCCCGGCUAACUACGUGCCAGCAGCCGCGGUAAUACGUAGGGGGCAAGCGUUAUCCGGAUUUACUGGGUGUAAAGGGAGCGUAGACGGCAUGGCAAGUCAGAUGUGAAAGCCCGGGGCUCAACCCCGGGACUGCAUUUGAAACUGUCAGGCUGGAGUGCAGGAGAGGUAAGUGGAAUUCCUAGUGUAGCGGUGAAAUGCGUAGAUAUUAGGAGGAACACCAGUGGCGAAGGCGGCUUACUGGACUGUAACUGACGUUGAGGCUCGAAAGCGUGGGGAGCAAACAGGAUUAGAUACCCUGGUAA